UGGGGAAUUUGGACAAUGGGCGCAAGCCUGAUCCAGCCAUGCCGCGUGCGGGAAGAAGGCCUUCGGGUUGUAAACCGCUUUUGUCAGGGAAGUAAAUCUUCUGAGUUAAUACCUCGGGAGGAUGACGGUACCUGAAGAAUAAGCACCGGCUAACUACGUGCCAGCAGCCGCGGUAAUACGUAGGGUGCAAGCGUUAAUCGGAAUUACUGGGCGUAAAGCGUGCGCAGGCGGUUUUGUAAGACAGAGGUGAAAUCCCCGGGCUCAACCUGGGAACUGCCUUUGUGACUGCAAGGCUUGAGUGCGGCAGAGGGGGAUGGAAUUCCGCGUGUAGCAGUGAAAUGCGUAGAUAUGCGGAGGAAACACCGUGGCGAAGGCAAAUCCCCUGGGCCUGCACUGACGCUCAUGCACGAAAGCGUGGGGAGCAAACAGGAUUAGAUCCCUGGUAGUCCACGCCCUAAACGAUGUCAACUGGCUUGUUGGGAAGGUUCCUUCUCAGUAACGUAGCUAACGC
rnacentral:rRNA from 1 species